UGCUGGAGGUAUCAGAAGUGCGAAUGCUGACAUAAGUAACGAUAAAGCGGGUGAAAAGCCCGCUCGCCGGAAGACCAAAGGGUUCCUGUCCAACGUUAAUCGGGGCAGGGUGAGUCGACCCCUAAGGCGAGGCCGAAAGGCGUAGUCGAUGGGAAACAGGUUAAUAUUCCUGUACUUGGUGUUACUGCGAAGGGGGGACGGAGAAGGCUAUGUUAGCCGGGCGACGGUUGUCCCGGUUUAAGCAUGUAGGCUGAUUGUCCAGGCAAAUCCGGAUAAUCAAGGCUGAGGUGUGAUGACGAGGCACUACGGUGCUGAAGUAACAAAUGCCCUGCUUCCAGGAAAAGCCUCUAAGCAUCAGGUAACAU
rnacentral:rRNA from 1 species